rnacentral:rRNA from 1 species
CGGAGGAUGCACGCGUUAUCCGGAUUCAUUGGGUUUAAAGGGUGCGUAGGCGGCUUUUUAAGUCAGUGGUGAAAUCCUGCCGCUUAACGGUAGAAUUGCCAUUGAUACUGAAAGGCUUGAGUCCAGUUGAGGUAAGCGGAAUGUGUAGUGUAGCGGUGAAAUGCUUAGAUAUUACACAGAACACCAAUUGCGAAGGCAGCUUACUAAACUGGCACUGACGCUGAUGCACGAAAGCGUGGGGAGCGAACAGGAUUAGAUACCCUGGUAGUCCACGCCGUAAACGAUGCUCACUCGCUGUUUGCGAUACACAGCAAGCGGCCAAGCGAAAGCAUUAAGUGAGCCACCUGGGGAUACGAUCGCAAGGUUG